AAAAUGGGUAAAUAAUGUAUGGCACAUUAAGACAGUGGAAUAUUAUAUAGCAAUGAAGAUAAAUUAACUACAGCCACAGGCAACAACAGAAAUGAAUCUCAAAACUUAGUAUUUAGUGAAAGAAGCCAGACACCAAAGAAUACAUCCUGAAUGCAUAAUGUUCAAAAUCAAGUAAAGUGGGACGUUAGGAUUUGGGGAUACGUGCUUAGGUAGUAAAGCUAUUUUUAAAAAGGAAGCAAUCACUGUAAAAGUCAAGGUUAUGGGAGGGAGGGAAUAACCAUAGCCAAGGGGCACAAGGGAGCUGGUGGGGGGCUAUGCUAUUUCUUGACCUGGGCUUUGUGGAUGUUUGUUCCGUGACAAAUCAUUGCACUGUACUUUUUGCGUGCACUUCUCUGAAUGGAUGUUGUAUUUCACGAUAAAACAGUUUAAAGACAAGCAAAUAAUUUGCACAUAUCAGCACUUUAUUAUCAGGUACAAGUUACUGGCAUACCACUGCCCCUGCCCCUAAAACAACCUCCUUGUCCUCUAAAAUUGCAAGUAUUCCAAUGACACUGUAACUUUACGAGUUCAGCCCUGACCCAUCAGGGGCACAAGGGUGGAUGCGGGAGACAAGGGCCCCAUUGACAAGGUCUCUUUAAACAGGGUGGGCCAGGAAACCCUCAGGAGAUGAGAAGCCUUGGGACCUUGGGCCUCAGUUUCCUCGUCUGGAGCACAGAGAUAAUAACAGCCCCAGUCCCCUCCUCCCGGAGCGAUGAUGAGAACUGGAUGAAUGAAAUAUGAACUCGCUCACACCUCUGCCUGAACAUACGACAUGGUUUACAAGUGUUGGCCUUAUUAAACCGCAUGCAAAACCCGGUUUGCAGGAGGACAGUUCAUGCAUCUAAGAAGAGAGGCUUCAGAGUCCCAAAGAGACACUGAGUACCCAUCCGUUGGCAUGGCCAUCCCCGGGCCCUGCUCAGUUCCUGAGCGUUCCCUGCCACUCCCUUUUAACACAAGGUAUGGGAACAGGACUUCCUCUGUGUUAGAAACAACAGCCCUGACCUGACAUCAAGGAAUCCAGCCUAAAAACGCGGCAAGGGAAGAAACACAAAAGUUCCUUUCCCCAGACCCCUCUUUCUUUUGGGGCUGGGGGUUGCAGCCAAGUUCACAGAAGACCACAGAAUCUGCAGCGGCCCUCUGUGGCUGAGUUGGCAGUACCCUAUAUCACAUGCAAAAUUGCAAUGUUCCAGCAGGGGCCAAAACUGUGCUCCAGCUGCCCUUUGAUCUGAAAGAAAUGCCAGGCUGUAUGCUCUGGCAGGAAAAGCUGUCAUCGCCUUUGCCUCUUGCUCCCAAAGAGACAAUGGUCUGGGCUGUCCCAGGCUUCCUCAGGCACACAGUGAGGCCACCCACUCAACCCCCAUUUCCUUCAGGGGAAACAGUUUCCUCCGCCUUCUCCCCACACACUUCUUCCACCCAGGCUGUGUACCCAACUCCUAAUCCAGAAGGGGUCAGAGGCGACCACUUGGAGAGUGUGGCUCUCCUGCAAAACUGCAUGAGAAAUGGGCCGAGCGAGGAAGGACCCGACGGAGCCCACAGUCUGGGUUCAAGUCCUGCCUUUUGGACUGCCCACAUCCUAAGCCUCUCUCACCCUCAGUGUGCUGCUCUGUUCAAAUGCCUGCACCGUUUUCUAACACAGCUAUUGCAAGCACCAAACCCUAGCUUCCAUCACUUACUUAGUGCCUAGCAUGUGCCAGGGUGUGGAAAGCAUAUUACUUCUAAUCUCUCUUUUAUUCUUCAUAGUAUCCCUAGGAGAUCCCACUUUUCAUCCAACCACCUUUGGGUCCUGGAGGGGAAAGUGAGACGCAGGCAACAGAAGGGACCAGAUCCCCUGGCUACCAGCCCUCAGCUCUUCCCAUCACCCUUGGCGCCACCGCCCACGAUGGAUGUGACUCCCCAGGUAACUCAGCGCUAAGUCAGGCCUGGGGCAAUUCAGUCCCGUUAUUUCCUGCGCCGCGAAAGCGCCAGGUGUCUCUGCCGGCGGUCGUGCAUCCGCACCUGUGCACAGAGAGGGCAGCAGACCUGCCCGCACCGGGAGCCAGCGGCGCGCACGACCCGAGCGCGGGCGCCGGGGCGGCUGGAAGUAACUGUCCCGCAGCCGCUCGCGCCGUCACUGCUUCCAAACCCCUCUCUGCCCAAGCCGGAGAGGCCGCGCCUGGCUGCGACCUCGCGGGCGCCCAGACAGCGCCGCGCCCGCCCAUGCCCGGGGCUCCGGCCGCGGCCGGGGAAGCGCGCAAGACCCGGGCGCCCGGCGGCGAGGACUCCCUUUUAUGUCCAGGAAUGAGGCGCGCACCGCAGCCGCGCCCGCCGCCAAAACCAACCUCCCAGGGUGCAGAGGCGGCCGGUGCCACCCUCAGGCCGGGUCGCUUACCUGUCGCGGAGCGGGUCCGGGUGACAGCGGGGAGGAGCGCGGAGACCGCGAGCAGCAGCAGCGGGCGCCAGCACGGCCCGUUCCUCCUGCAAGAAGCGGCCGAGGGGGAGAGGUGAGGGGGGCGGGCGGCCGCGGCGCGGGCCGGGGCGCGGGGAGAGGGUCCUACCUGGGCGCCAUCCCGCGGGUCUGCCGGGGCGCCGGGCGCGCGGAGGCGGAGUGGCGCUGGUGGCCGCUCGCGGGGCUGCAGGAACAAAGGCGGAGCCGGGCGGCGGCGGCCCGCGGGAGGCUCGGCCCGCGCCCUGACUCAGCCGCGCUGAAACCCGACUCCGCCGCGCCCCCGCGCUCCCCGCGCGCCUUCCCCGGCCGGCGGCGCCCCACGCCCCACGCCCCUCUCGCCCUCGACGGGCGCGCGCUCCCGCCGCCGCGUCCACCCCGCGCGGCCUUAUGUAACCCUCGAGACAGCCCCGCGCCCGCGCGCCUGGGGCAGCGGGCCGCCGCCGCCUCCCGCCCUCUCCUCUGCCCCGUCGGGGCUGCCCCGCGGAGCAAGCGCUCUCCUUUCACCGGCCAAUGGAAGCCUCUCAACGGCCCAGGGAGGCUGGCAUCCCGGUGACCUCCCUAAUGACAGACGGAGAAACUGAGGCUCAGAGAGAUGGGGCGCGUGUCUCAAGGUCACACAGCUGGACUGAGCUCCUGACCCCUGUGCCCCGCCCUGCACGCCUGGCCCGGGAACCCACGGAAGGCCAAGGAGUGGCCCGGGCUGGGGGGUAUAAGUGAUAGUACAUAUAAAUAAAUGCAGCAAAGAUAAUCCUAAUAAAAAUUUUAAAUAU
ensembl:lncRNA